CCAUGUGGGACCAUGUGAGAUGUUGAAAGUGGGAACCCUWGCUUGCUGGCUGACCUGAGCUCACUGGAUAGUCUGGGUAAGAAAAAUGUUUGCAGCCCCCGUCAGAAAGCUUCUCGGACUGGAGAUGUAUUUGGGCACAAGCAAGUUUGGAAAUGGCAUGUUGGAAUUCUUGCCUUUAUCCUUGCUGUGAAAUUGCUUCUCCUUGCUGUGAAGUUAGAUCUUUCAAUGUCAGUUGAAGAUACAUAUCCUAUGUAGAGUUUUGUGAAUGAUACUUUAUUUCCUGACUGGCUUCCCGAUGAAUCGUACCAGAAGAAUCGUACAUACCUUGUUUUCUUAGGCUGAUACUGGAUGUUAAGUUACUGAUGAAGAAUCAGAUGGCUGAGUAGAAAACCAUGAUCAGAAUUUGGUGCUGUGUCAAAUCAGAUGUGUUGAGGAGAUGAUUUUCUCAGUCUUAACAAAUUAACUGCUGUUGGUUGAAGCUUUGAAUCAAGUCAGAUGAAGAGAGUCAAAAGGAGUCUACGAAUGAGAGAUCAAGAUGGCAGUUCCACUGUUGAUUGAGAGGUUGAGGAACUGGACUAAUGCAUGAGUGCUGUGAUAAAACUGUCUAAGAGAUGGACUCCCGUGUUAUUAAACCAGAGAAGAAUUGGGUACUGAUCAUCAUAUCAAAAUGGACUUUGCACUUGAAUUAAUCAGGAGACUGUAUUGGUGACUAUCUAGUGAUGGAUGGAUCCAUUUGAGGGUUGGGUGGCAAAACUUCGCUCUAAGGUGAUGUAUGCAUCCAGGGAAAUCAAAUUGAUUAGACAUGUUGCUAUCCCUUCAGGAAAAAUGUAAUGUUCUUUUAAAAAAAAAAAAAAGUUACUAAAUAAAAGGUUUUGGUUUCUUUUACACUUUGUGUUUGUUAUUUCUGGCUGAAUUUUUCUAAUUGUUUUGAUACUGGAGUAUAUAUACCUUCUUAGAUGCAAUUAAAGUGAAAAAUGUUUUAGCUGAUAAGCUCCAAAGGCAAGACAAAUUUUAUGAAAUAUUUGAUUUAAAAUACUGUGCAUUUUAUUUAAAAGUUGUCUUCAUUUUGAUACAACUCGCAGUGAAUUCUUAUCCUCUCGGGUUCUUUCAGGUGAUCAAUUUUAGUUUUGGAUUUUGUUCAUUUUGUCGUCUUUUUAUUUUCUUUCUGCUUCAGAAUUUGCUCUAUUGUCAGGGUAUUUCUGCUGAAUUUUCUAAUGCUUCUUUAAYGUGGAAUUGAUACCAUGUGAAGGGUGGGCAAAUAUGACAAUGAAAAUGCAUGUUCAUAGUUUUCUAGGGACAUUUUCCUUAAUCAUUCCAUACAACUGCGGUUUUCCUAACUAAUUUUUGUAACUUCUAGGUAUAUUCAUUGUUGUGUAUAUGUACAUAAGCUUUGAACAGGUUUUCUGGACAACUUAAUUUUUAAGCAGCCUUAUCUGUCCUAAAAUUGAUCUGUCCUGUAUAUGUCACAGCUAUUUGAUAUAGACUUAGCUACAUGAUAUUGUACUAUAUUUGAUAAGAAAAAUGAAGUAUUUUUGAUACUACUACAGAGAGCAUGUUAACCUUUACAAAUGAAUUUUUGAAAUGUUUUAAUGUUCAAAAAAAUGAUUUCAAAUAUUUUUAUGCRUCAAAUUGUGUGGACCAAAAAGGCUUAGCGCUUCAUAUGCCGUUUUCACCUGACGUUUGUAGACUGUCCUCUUUGCCUUGUGCUAGAAGGCCAGGAGAAGGCAAAUCUGGUGCUGAGAUGAUCUAGAUCUCAGAUUUCCUUUAAACAAAAAACAAAAUCUGUGUGUGUUAACCAUUUGACUUGCUCGGACAUUUAUGCAAAUACUCCAUUUUUACCAUAAUUGUUCAUAACUGUUUAAUCUGGCUGUUCUGAUUACA